rnacentral:lncRNA from 1 species
CAAAAUCUGCAAUCCUCUUGUAGUGUGAGAUGUUGAACGAGAAUGGUGAUCAGCGAUAGCCGUUGAGAGCUCGCCAGAGAAGAAGCCAGUGAGAUGAUGACGUUGUUUCGCAUCACCCAGGCUCCUCUGUCAGAAACAACUUGAAGCACUCUGCCUCAGAUGGAAAUGGCAAGGGGCGUUGCACUCCAGACUGGGACUCAUCAAAGCAAACAGCAGGGCCAGGAGGGGUGAAAUGGCUAGCAGCCUGCCAGCUAGCACAGAACUCCUGUACUUCAUCCACUGUCGGUCUGCCUCCAUCACCACCAGCAUCUUCAAAGGGAACUGGGACUUUGUCAGUGGACAAGGGAUCCUCAGAUUCAGG